GAUGAACGCUAGCGGCAGGCCUAAUACAUGCAAGUCGAACGGUGUCUUCGGACAUAGUGGCGCACGGGUGCGUAACACGUAUGCAACCUACCUUACAUUGGGGGAUAGCCUUUCGAAAGGGAGAUUAAUACCGCAUAAGACAGUAGCUGGGCAUCCAGCAGCUGUUAAAGAUUUAUCGAUGUAAGCUGGGCAUGCGUCCAAUUAGCUAGUUGGUGAGGUAACGGCUCACCAAGGCAAUGAUUGGUAGGGGAACUGAGAGGUCAAUCCCCCACACUGUGACUGAGAUACGGGCCAGACUCCUACGGGAGGCAGCAGUAGGGAAUAUUGGGCAAUGGACGCAAGUCUGACCCAGCCAUGCCGCGUGCAGGAUGAAGGCGUUAUGCGUUGUAAACUGCUUUUAUACAGGAAGAAACGACUCUUGCGAGAGGCAUUGACGGUACUGUAUGAAUAAGCACCGGCUAACUCCGUGCCAGCCGCCGCCGUAAGAC
rnacentral:rRNA from 1 species